ACCCUUACCUGGCAGGGGAGAUACCAUGAUCACAAAGGUGGUUUUCCUAGGGUUAGGCUUGUCCAUUGCACUCCUGAUGUCUUAACCCCGUGAUUUCCCCAAAUGUGGGUAACUCAAUUACAGAAUUUGUGAUAGUGGGGGACUGUGUUCGCACUCUCCCUUU